rnacentral:rRNA from 1 species
AUUGAACGCUGGCGGCAGGCUUAACACAUGCAGGUCGAGCGGAGAGAGGUAGCUUGCUACUGAUCUUAGCGGCGGACGGGUGAGUAAUGCUUAGGAAUCUGCCUAUUAGUGGGGGACAACAUUUCGAAAGGAAUGCUAAUACCGCAUACGUCCUACGGGAGAAAGCAGGGGAUCUUCGGACCUUGCGCUAAUAGAUGAGCCUAAGUCGGAUUAGCUAGUUGGUGGGGUAAAGGCCUACCAAGGCGACGAUCUGUAGCGGGUCUGAGAGGAUGAGCCGCCACACUGGGACUGAGACACGGCCCAGACUCCUACGGGAGGCAGCAGUGGGGAAUAUUGGACAAUGGGCGGGAGCCUGAUCCAGCCAUGCCGCGUGUGUGAAGAAGGCCUUAUGGUUGUAAAGCACUUUAAGCGAGGAGGAGGCUACUUUAGUUAAUACCUAGAGAUAGUGGACGUUACUCGCAGAAUAAGCACCGGCUAACUCUGUGCCAGCCGCCGCCGUAACAC